GCCUGGGUGGCUCAGUGGGUUGAGCGUCUGACUUCAGCUCAGGUCAUGAUCUCGCGGUCCGUGAGUUCGAGCCCCGCAUCGGGCU
rnacentral:tRNA from 1 species